UCCCACUGCCGCCGCGCGCGGAGCGGGGCCCCGGCCUCUCUGCCCCCGGCGGUCAGGGGCACCUGGCUCUGCCGGGGCUGUGUGUGCCUCGGGACGCGAAGAGCCAGAGCGCUCUCUAGAAGCAGCAGCAACACUAGGACUUCUCUCUGGAAGACUGAUGGCACUACCUAAGAAUAUGAAAAUUGGAACAAUAAUGUGCUGGAAUCUAGAGAUGUAUCAGUUGCUGGACAGCAUCCUCUCUGAUCCCAGAUACACAAUGAGAAGGCAAAAAUAAACUAACACAACUCCUUUGGGAGGGGUGACGUGGAGUUCUAUACCAUAACCUUCUAUCUGAUGAAGAACAAGUAUGGAGUAUGCCCACAAGUGCCACAUCAGUUUCACCUACCUGCUGGUCGUGGUGAAGAAUCAGCAAUGAUUAUAUGAGGGAAGGUUUCAUGGAACAUGGGUUACUUAUUUUGCCAAAUCAUUUAAGUACUUUUUAAAUGAUUAAUUUUCAAAAAAAG